rnacentral:rRNA from 1 species
UCGGGAAUUUUGGGCAAUGGGCGAAAGCCUGACCCAGCAACGCCGCGUGAGGGAUGAAGUAUUUCGGUAUGUAAACCUCGAAAGAAUGGGAAGAAUAAAUGACGGUACCAUUUAUAAGCUCCGGCUAACUACGUGCCAGCAGCCGCGGUAAUACGUAGGGAGCAAGCGUUGUUCGGAUUUACUGGGCGUAAAGGGCGCGUAGGCGGCGCGGUAAGUCACUUGUGAAAUCUCUGAGCUUAACUCAGAACGGCCAAGUGAUACUGCUGUGCUAGAGUGCGGAAGGGGCAACCGGAAUUCUUGGUGUAGCGGUGAAAUGCGUAGAUAUCAAGAGGAACACCGGAGGCGAAGGCGGGUUGCUGGUCCGACACUGACGCUGAUGCGCGAAAGCCAGG